UACGGAGGGUGCAAGCGUUAUCCGGAUUCACUGGGUUUAAAGGGUGCGUAGGUGGGUUGGUAAGUCAGUGGUGAAAUCCCCGAGCUUAACUUGGGAACUGCCAUUGAUACUAUCAGUCUUGAAUAUUGUGGAGGUCAGCGGAAUAUGUCAUGUAGCGGUGAAAUGCUUAGAUAUGACAUAGAACACCAAUUGCGAAGGCAGCUGGCUACACAUAUAUUGACACUGAGGCACGAAAGCGUGGGGAUCAAACAGG
rnacentral:rRNA from 1 species